rnacentral:rRNA from 1 species
GCAAGUCGAGCGGGGGAGGUUGCUUCGGUAACUAACCUAGCGGCGGACGGGUGAGUAAUGCUUAGGAAUCUGCCUAUUAGUGGGGGACAACAUUCCGAAAGGGAUGCUAAUACCGCAUACGCCCUACGGGGGAAAGCAGGGGAUCGUAAGACCUUGCGCUAAUAGAUGAGCCUAAGUCGGAUUAGCUAGUUGGUGGGGUAAAGGCCUACCAAGGCGACGAUCUGUAGCGGGUCUGAGAGGAUGAUCCGCCACACUGGGACUGAGACACGGCCCAGACUCCUACGGGAGGCAGCAGUGGGGAAUAUUGGACAAUGGGGGGAACCCUGAUCCAGCCAUGCCGCGUGUGUGAAGAAGGCCUUUUGGUUGUAAAGCACUUUAAGCGAGGAGGAGGCUUACUUAGUUAAUACCUAGGAUAAGUGGACGUUACUCGCAGAAUAAGCACCGGCUAACUCUGUGCCAGCAGCCGCGGUAAUACAGAGGGUGCGAGCGUUAAUCGGAUUUACUGGGCGUAAAGCGUGCGUAGGCGGCUUUAUAAGUUGGAUGUGAAAUCCCCGAGCUUAACUUGGGAAUUGCAUUCAAAACUGUAAGGCUAGAGUAUGGGAGAGGAUGGUAGAAUUCCAGGUGUAGCGGUGAAAUGCGUAGAGAUCUGGAGGAAUACCGAUGGCGAAGGCAGCCAUCUGGCCUAAUACUGACGCUGAGGUACGAAAGCAUGGGGAGCAAACAGGAUUAGAUACCCUGGUAGUCCAUGCCGUAAACGAUGUCUACUAGCCGUUGGGGUCUUUGAGACUUUAGUGGCGCAGCUAACGCGAUAAGUAGACCGCCUGGGGAGUACGGUCGCAAGACUAAAACUCAAAUGAAUUGACGGGGGCCCGCACAAGCGGUGGAGCAUGUGGUUUAAUUCGAUGCAACGCGAAGAACCUUACCUG